AUUGAACGCUGGCGGCAGGCCUAACACAUGCAAGUCGAGCGGUAACACAGGGGGCUUGCUCCUGGGUGACGAGCGGCGGACGGGUGAGUAAUGUCUGGGAAACUGCCUGAUGGAGGGGGAUAACUACUGGAAACGGUAGCUAAUACCGCAUAAUGUCGCAAGACCAAAGAGGGGGACCUUCGGGCCUCUUGCCAUCAGAUGUGCCCAGAUGGGAUUAGCUAGUAGGUGGGGUAACGGCUCACCUAGGCGACGAUCCCUAGCUGGUCUGAGAGGAUGACCAGCCACACUGGAACUGAGACACGGUCCAGGCUCCUACGGGAGGCAGCAGUGGGGAAUAUUGCACAAUGGGCGCAAGCCUGAUGCAGCCAUGCCGCGUGUAUGAAGAAGGCCUUCGGGUUGUAAAGUACUUUCAGCGGGGAGGAAGGUGUUGAGGUUAAUAACCUCAGCAAUUGACGUUACCCGCAGAAGAAGCACCGGCUAACUCCGUGCCAGCCGCCGCAGUAACAC
rnacentral:rRNA from 1 species